GAAAACACUGCUCAUAUGAACAGUGUUACGAGAAAACACUGUUCAUAUGAACAGUGUUACGAAAAAUAUACUAAUGUUCUUCUUCCUCCCGCAGUGUUCCCGCCGGAUCAGCCUUCACGCGUCCCUGCUUCGUCCGCAACGCCCGCGUCUCCUUCCUUCCCGUGAUCCAAGCAAGGCCACAUCCUUCCUCUUCAGCCCGCGUCCCCACCUUCCAUCCGCGUCGCUGCCAGCUCGUCCCCAACGCGCAAUCAGCGCACCUCAACAGCACAGCACCCAGCUUCAUCCCGUGCGAAAGAAGGGGAGAAGAAAGGAUUCAUCCCAUCCGUGUUCCUCUUCCGGAUUCCCAACUCCUUCCAAUCCUGUCCGCUUGCACCUUCCAAAGCCGUGAUCUCCUUCCUCUACGCCAUCAAAAUCCCAGCACCUCCUCCGUCGAUCACCCUCCCGUGAUGCUAGCGGUGGUCCCACGGCAGCCUCCGCCUUUGCACCCACGGAUCCACGUCCUCCCGUUGAUUCCGUGCCAGCUCCCGUCGGAUCCCUAGCAUCACGCAGCCAUCUUCCUCUUCCGCUUCAUCAUCAGCUAUCCCACGCCAUCAACGCGUUCACAGCCAGCAAAUCUCAGCUCCCAGCAUCGCGGCCAAGCCGG
rnacentral:lncRNA from 1 species